rnacentral:misc_RNA from 1 species
GAUGAAGAACGUAGCGAAAUGCGAUAACUAGUGUGAAUUGCAGAAUUCCGUGAAUCAUCGAGUCUUUGAACGCACAUUGCGCCCCCUGGUAUUCCGGGGGGCAUGCCUGUCCGAGCGUCAUUGCUGCCCAUCAAGCACGGCUUGUGUGUUGGGUCGUCGUCCCCCCCUCCGGGGGGGACGGGCCCUAAAGGCAGCGGCGGCACCGCGUCCGAUCCUCGAGCGUAUGGGGCUUUGUCACCCGCUCUGUAGGCCCGGCCGGCGCUUGCCGAACGCAAAACAACCAUUCUUUCCAGGUUGACCUCGGAUCAGGUAGGGAUACCCGCUGAACUUAAGCAUAUCAAUAAGCGGAGGA